rnacentral:rRNA from 1 species
UACGUAGGUGGCAAGCGUUAUCCGGAUUUACUGGGUGUAAAGGGCGUGUAGGCGGGACUGCAAGUCAGAUGUGAAAAUUAUGGGCUCAACCCAUAACCUGCAUUUGAAACUGUAGUUCUUAAGUGAUGGAGAGGCAGGCGGAAUUCCGUGUGUAGCGGUGAAAUGCGUAGAUAUACGGAGGAACACCAGUGGCGAAGGCGGCCUGCUGGACAUUAACUGACGCUGAGGCGCGAAAGCGUGGGGAGCAAACAGG